GCCUGGCCCUAAAUCUCGAUGCUUAGCUCACCAAAGCAUCCGCCUGAGAACUACGAGCACAAACGCUUAAAACUCUAAGGACUUGGCGGUGCCCCAAACC
rnacentral:rRNA from 1 species